rnacentral:lncRNA from 1 species
AGCGGCGCCGGGGGCCGAGCGGGGCGGGGUGCGCCCGGGAGCGGCUUAGCGCGGGGCAUCGUUCCACUCAGGCUACUAGGAAGAAGGCAGUAUCAGCUGUGAAUGACACAAGAACAACUGGGGAAGAGGAUGAGAAAACUGUGAAAGAAUUGCUGGGGGAGAUGCCUGGGGACAUUGGCAGUGUUUUGAGCCAGCUUCUGAAGAAAACCUGGAGAAGUCUUACUGGAGCUGAAGUUGCUGCAUGAAGGAUAGAGGGAAACAAGGGUGGAUCCUCUUCCCCACAGUGAUGCCAUGAUAAAGGAUGACCAAUAGCUGUAAGGAGAAAGAACAUAUAAGGGACAAGCCGAGAUAACACUUAGUAAGGGAUGGAAAAUGCCAGGCCUUCGUAUGGUCUACUGACUCCCUGGCCAAGAUGUGUCCUGCAGCUGAUGUAUAGCCCUAAGCAGGAAACAGCCAGGGCAUGCAUUUCAUGAGUGGGGUAUAUGAGGCGGUACUUCAUCUCCAGGCCUCAGUGGAGGACACAGAGCAGAGGCAAUAUCAUGAGGGGACGUAGCAGGCAUAGACAUGAUUUUUCAUCAUGCUUGUUUACAAUGCGGCAGCUCGACUGGACUUGCUUAUUUAUGUUGAACUGCACAGUGUGCAAGCACUCAGCAAAGAGGCAGGUAUCCAAAACCAAGGUGUUAGUACAGGCUGCAAAUCAAGAGCACGGUGAACUGAACAUGGUCACAAACAGGCUUUAAUAUUGCACUGCAGAACAGUAACUCCCACACUAAAUGAAGAAAAGGGUUAAAUUUGUAGACGGCUGGCUUUGCAUAGUCUGGCUAGGCCCACCACACUGAUAUUUAUAAACUCUCAGUGGAUGACUGAGAGCAGCUCCAGGCCUGCCGAGGGCAGACUAGCUCUCUAGCAACACACUGCAGGUGAAUUUAAGGGUGUGGUAAUUGAGCUGGGCUUGGGUCACCCAGUAGCAGUCUGAACCCAGCCAGCCAUGCUAGGCAUAGCUCUACACUCCUGAACAAAGUGUUCCAUUAGGCCUGCUGGAGCCUGGGCAGCCUCCACUAGUCAGGCUUUCUCUUUCUGAAUUUUAUGCAAUGAAAAGAAUGGGAUAGGCAGGGCGUGCAAGGAGGAUUUUGUUCACUUCCAUAAAGAAUCCAGACUACAGCUAAGCAUCUGGAAACAUGCUUCUUGGGAUUUCAGUGUUGCAUCUAAAAUGCUAUGUUAUGACAGGGAGCAGAAGAAAAAAGGAUCAGUGACUUUGCAGAUGAAUGACCAACGUACUAACAUGACAAAAUGAGCUCUUGGUUUGCCAUAAAUACAUUAUCUAAGCUUUCAAGGGUUGAUCAGUAAGAAUGCAAAAUCUCUUUCAAAGGAUGUAGAUGAGAAGGAGGGGUACUCAUCAGAAUUAAAGAACAGCUUUUGCUAGACUGGUGUUCCUGGCAGGUUACACCUGCUUCCCACUCUGUGCCUUGCUGCCACUCUGUCUGGAGCAACGUGCUUCUAACAAUAGCUGGUAGCUGCAAGGUACAGAGUGUGCUACGCAGCUCGUUUCCUCUUCCUCCUGCCUGAUUGUUAUUGCAGAGCUCCCAGCAAGAAGGGCUCUUUAAUGCCAUUAAGUCACAAGAAACUGUGGCUUUGAUAGUGAGGAUCUGAUUUAAUGCAAUACCAAGUCAAAGAAAAACAUUUAAAGAGAGAAGAUGCCUUUCUCUAAGUGCUUUGUACUGUAAAGCUUCUGUAUAUACACAUACACUCACAUGCUCACACAUCCUGGAGGAGGUGCGUGUCCAGAAGGGAAAUCCUGCCUGCACCGGAGUUCAUGACAAAUGUUCCCACUGACCUUGGCAGGGCAGAGUUUCAGCCACUGUCUGUGUAUGUGGGGGACGGUGUGGAAGUGUUCAGGCAUGAUAUGUCUGUAUUUACUUGCUGUGAAGGACUGUGGGAGCCUGAACAUACUAGCAAUGUACCAAAAUACAAAUGGAGAGUAAGAGGUUGUCCCCAGGACAAGGCCCAGGAGCGUUGCCAUGCCUUCCUGCACCACAUGUGGUCUCCUGCAGCUUUGUCUGUAUGCAGGUUGUGGGAGCACCCUAGGCAGUGACCUUACUCACCAUCAGAGUCUUGGUGGGGUCUUGGCUUGCUUGCUUGUUUUUGGCUUGGUGACUUUUUUGUGUGUGAUGCUUUCUUGUUUGUCUUUUUAACACAUAUUGGGGUUAGUCUAAAAAUUGCUCAACUGCCUUCAUUCUUCUGCUCUCAAAAUAGAUAGGACAGUUUUUGAGGGCCAAUUAGAAGGGCCAGCUGGCCCUUGAAUAACCAUAAUCCUGCAUUCAGUGAUUUCACUCUGCUUGAUUUUACCUUCAGAUAUGUUUUCAGUGUGGCAGAAGGACAAGAAACCUACUUCUACAAGUAAUUUAGUGGUUAUGCACUUCAAAACUCCCAUUUUAAUGCUGAUUGUAAUUCUAUUCCACUGUUUUUUUCUAAAAUCUGUUUUGAAUUUGUGCACCUCUAAGCAUCAUUCAGUGAUAUUAUAGGUGGAAACAUAAGAUCCAGUAUAAUGAACACGAAUCCUGUUUUCCUGGAGACCUUUUAUAGAUCUACUGAAGGUAAUUCAGAGACUCACAGUUUAAAGACCUGCUUUAAUUUGUGUAGCUGUAAUGUGCCAAACUUGAGUGGCUAAUUUCGUAUCAGUCACUGAAUGCAGUGGGCCAGCCACAUGACUUCCUUAAUUUAAAAUGUGUUUUGUAUUUAUGGGUUCCUCCUGUUUGUAACUAUCAUUUUGUAACAGCUGCCCUGUGGUACAGCAAGCACCACAAAGCAGAAUCCCUAUGUCUGAAAGGCACUUCCUUCCCCCUUCAUCUUGACAGCACACAUCUGAGCCAAGGUUCCUCUGUGCAGAACCGGGUUGGUCCCAAUACUGGGGCUCUCACUCCUGCUGGAAAGCACUGCACAUCCAUGACUGAGACCAGAUUUGGGGCAGUAUGCCAAGUUCUUUUGAGGAUUUGGGCCUGGCUGUAAAUGUCACAGCUGGUGGCUUCCCACUGUUGAAAAUCUGCUGCAAUAUUAUGGAUGAUGAGCAUUUGGAAAAUCUGGUGCUGAAGACCAGCAGUCAAUAGGGUGAUGUAAAGGAGAGUGGGACAAGGCCCAGAGCUGCAGCACAGGAAAGCAGGAAUACAUUCAAAGUCAUAGACAUUGUCUGUGCAGGAUUCCAAAUACCUGGCAAAACCAAAGCAAAACAUGAGCAUUACUAAAAAACAUCAGGUAGACCUAUUUCUGCGUAGCAAGUAUAAAACCUUGAAUUACUUCCAAAAAAGAUCUGAAUUACCAUUACCAGUGCUCCUGCAGAAGCACUCUGAACUAAGAGCUUGAAGCCAGAGACUUCCAGUUACACUGGAAAAAUGCAUUCUCACUCCCAUGCGGAGUGGUGGCUCCUUGGACAUGUUCCACGUUUCACUGGAAGAGCUGGCAAUAUCGUAAAUUCCAGAAGAAAAGCUGCUGAACUGCUUUAAGAUUAUUUUAAAGAUGUGUACAAACUACUUUCAGAAAAUUAUGAUCACUGUUUUUUUUUGUUGUUGUGAAUCUUCACGUUUACUCUUCCUUACAUACUAUUUACCUUCUCCCUUUGGAGCACCGUUGUAUAUGGAAACCUGCUCAGCACAACACAUAAACAGCUGUGGUAAGCAGUCUAUAAAGAUGUAAAGAGCAGUUGUUGUCACUGUACUAACAAAGCAGAUUUUAUCAAAUUUGCCUUCAAACCAGGCUCUCAGCUGCUCCCAAGCAUAUCGAGAUGACCCCUACAUGUGUUAGCAAUAUGCUACAAUGACAUACAUGUGUUCCUACGUAGCCUAUUCCAGCACAGGUUUCUUUGUUCACAAUCACAUUAUGCAUGUGUUUGUUAUUCAUGUUUCUGCUUCCACAACUUUCCUUUGAUGUAAGUACAAUACAACUUUUUCAUCGUUAUUUGAAACAGAAACGUCGGGACAAAAGGAGCAUCAAAUAUAGGAAGUACUGAGUUACAUUUUGCCAGUGGUUUAUACCUUUUCUGUAUGUUAAAGUCAUCAAUAACAUAUUUUCAGAAGAAAAAUGAAUGACUUGACUUUUGUUCAGACUACAGGCUUAGCGUAAAGGUCAGACUGUGAUGCCGUGACACAGUGACUGCUCAAAGUCUGCCGCAGAGAGUUUGUGUCAGGGGCAGGAGCAGAUUCACAUUGUCUUUAGCAGUGCCAGAGACAUUUUUUUCUGAAGAGAACAUUAGCUUUUAAGUCUCCUGCAAGUCCUCUGAAAAAUAAAUAUACAUCUUUGGAAAGUGACUGGAAAGAUGCUUACAUGAGAGCUGGAAAAGAUGCUCAAUAUCAAUCUGUACUUUCCUCUUUAAGUGUUUCUGAGCCACAUCUUCACCUGCAAUUAACUCACAUGGCGUAUGAAGAUACACUCCUCUGUGCUUAACCUUUAAACAAAAUUUCUCUGAUUAUUGGCCUUCAUUCCCAGUGUGACUGAGAAACGAGCAGGGCAGAUGGGAGCAGGCGUUCCCAGUUGAUGCUACAGAACAUUUCUGUGAUGAUUUAAAGCUGUGUUAAACAAUAGCUUGUUCACAUUCAAUUUCAGAGCAUCCCAAGAUGCUGUAUGAGGCAGGGAAGAGAACUGAAAUUGCUUUUGCGGAGAUGCUAGGCAUAAUUAAAGGCUCAUGUCUGGAUCUUACAGCUAACAAACUGCUGUACAACAAGGGAAGCGGCUCCCUAAGUAGUUUUUUUUACAAAACACUAAAUAUACUGUUGUAACAAUAAAACCUAACCAUCCAGCUGCCAGCACAUUGUGUGCGUGUGGCACUGUGGACAUCAUGUCCACCCCCUCCCCUCAAAUCCAUCCCCUUCUGCUGUUGGAAAAUAGCAAAAGUCCUACCAGGAGCUACUGAGAAGUUUAAUAAAAAUAAAUUGGAGCUGCUUAAUCCACUUCUGCAAUCUGGCUGUACUUGUUCUGAAAAUCAGGACUGCACCUUUGGAAAAGUGCAGAUGUAAAUGUAAAGUGCAGAGUAAAGUGAGAAGCUGUGAGCACUGCCUUGCAGAAGGGCAGAAAAAAGGCCUCUCGCCGUCUCCCCUUUUGACAUGACAGAUAAAGGCAAAUGCGUGAAGGUCUUAAAGCCCCACUGCAGAGCAGGAAGAGGAAAACAAAUGGCACCACACCAUAUGCCCAUAAUCCCAACUAAAAGGCAUUCAAAUUCAUUUCUCCUCAGCUUCCCUUUUACACACCAGUGAACAAGUGUGUUUGACAACACAGUGUGGGAGUUUCCAGUUCAUUGAGCGGGUUUCCUUCACCUUUGCUCAGGCUUCCACCUGAAUGUCCUGCUCCCAACCACAAGAUGGAUCCCAGGUGGGCUGGUGGGGACCAGAAAUGGGAGCCCCCGGGCACUGCACCUCACACACGGGGCUCUGGGAGGAAGCAAACUGGGAAACUGGAUGCAGGUUGAAGAGAAAGUGCUGGGCUUGGCAGGAAAGCAAUGCUCUCAGGCCCCAACUGCCACCAUGCUGAGCUCGCUGCCUUUGCUAGGCCUGGAGCUUGCCAUGUGUGAGGAAUGCACCUGGGGAAGUGCCUUGCAGGUUGCUGGGACCAGUGGCCUUCAAUAGGCAGGAGCAGCAGGCCAGAGCAGCAGGCACAACAGCUGAGGUGAUGCCAACCGAUGCUGGAAGAAGGAGGCAAGGGAAAAGUGCUGCAGGAUGCUUGGGAGACUGGAAAAUGCCUCGGAGCCAGCGGAGCCAUGAGCGUGUGAGUGGAAGGCAGCAUGGGCUGCUCAUUAGAGCCUGAGCGCAUUGAGAGCAGGAGAGGAUGCUCACAUGGCAAAUCAAUUUGCAGGCAUCAAAUUGAUUUAAAAAAAUGCAAAAGGAUGCACUCACCAUUAUAAAUCGAAUAGGAAGAGCAGCAGAUAAACAUGGUCCAUGGUUCAUAAAACCACAGUUAGAGAGAGUGGAACCUUUUUCUCAGGCAAGAUAGCAGGCAGUGUGCCCUUAUGUCUCAUCUGCAGUUUUUCACAUUUCUAUUUUUCACAUUUCCAAUGCCAAACUAAUUAUUUUCCUCCAAAGGUCCUUUCCACUUCUCUUCAUCCUCAUCCUUCUGUUGACAUUGACUGGACGUAUAAUCACAGCAUCGCUUUUCAGUAUUUGACUCUUGCUUCAAAUCCUUUUUUCUCCCUUGUAGCAUCUCUGAGAUCUCAACCAAGGAUCCAAAACACUUGCUUAUAACUUCACAGUCUCCAGGUUUUGGGUUUCACAUCCCCCUCCUUACCAUCCUUUUCACACCUCCAUCCCACUGCUUCCUACACAGAGUACAGCUGCCAGGUUGAUGAUACAGAUGUAGAGAUAAAAUCCAAUUCUCCAGAGCUGCCUUAGUAACACUUUUUCAGCGUACAGUUCCAGAUACUUUUCUUUGCAUGCAUUUUCUCUGUGCUUUCAGGUUCACCAUGCUGACUUUGCCUCUUGAGCAGGCGCAGCACCCAAGAGCUGUAGCAGGGUGUUAUUCUCCACCCUCACUCACAUCACAGGGAAAACAAGAGUAGUCGGAGUGAGCACCAAACCAGCUGUUUGAUAGAUGUUAAGUCAAGCAAGAGGUUGCACUACAAAGUGAUAGGAAAUAGGCUGUCAUGUUCUUCCAUUACCCCCAAGCCUGACUUCUCCCAGCACUGCACAUCUCCUUGGCCCUGCUUCUAACUCCUCGGUAUCUCAUACCAUCCUCAUGCGCUUUUCAGUGCUCAGAUCUCUGCUAUGUCCUUGCCCCACUCCGUCUCCACGUUGAGACAGCCUCAGUGUCUGCUUUCUGACUGACCUGGGCCAUCCUCCCCGAUGGCUUUCAGUGAGCUGAACAAGCAUAUUCUGCACCGGUUCAAUCCCAUCAGAUUUUCAUACUAUUUUUGAUGAUAAAAAUCUGUAGGAAAGAUCCAGAGGGUGUCAUUCUCCGAAAAAGCUGAAGAUUUCCUGAAAAUUUCAUCCUGAAAUGUGUACCAAGAAUGGAAAAGUAACUUAAGGCAGUUAAAGUUCAAGAAAUGUAUGGGAACUGCUUCUUACGAAAAGAAAUGUAGGAAGUGAUGGCUACCACCCAGUCUGUGGUUUAAGUUUAUUGUAGGAGUUCUUGCCUACUGUUUUCCUAACCAGGAGUAAGGCUCCCAAAUGAGCUAAUUCUCUAUGUCAAGCCAUACUAGUUCUAUAUAAACUGCAAUAUUUACUUAAAAUCCUCUUGCAGACAAUGUAGUGAUGCAAACUGUCCCAUAGUGGCUGCUCACAAUGUCAUUAUUAUACAUCUCAUUAUCCCAAGACAGCUGGCAAAAAUGAGCUGGGUAAUUUACACACAACUUUGAAACUGUGCCUGCAUUUUGAACUGUGUCAGCAGCCGUGGCUUCUUCACAGCCUCUUAAAUGGGCAGCUACCAAGCA